AUUGAACGCUGGCGGUAUGCUUAACACAUGCAAGUCGAACGAUGAGAAAGAGCUUGCUCUUUCGAUUAGUGGCGGACGGGUGAGUAACGCGUAGGAAUCUACCUAUUAGUGGGGGACAACUUAGGGAAACUUAAGCUAAUACCGCAUACGCCCUACGGGGGCAAGAAGGGAAUCGCAAGACAUUUUGAUAAUAGAUGAGCCUGCGUAGGAUUAGCGCGUUGGUGGCGUAAAAGCUCACCAAGGCGACGAUCAUUAACUGGUUUGAGAGAAUGAUCAGUCACACUGGAACUGAGACACGGUCCAGUCUCCUACGGGAGGCAGCAGUGGGGAAUAUUGGACAAUGGGCGAAAGCCUGAUCCAGCAAUACCGCGUUUGUGAAGAAGGCCUUAGGGUUGUAAAGCACUUUCAAUUGGAAGGAAAACCUCGAAGCUAAUACCUUCGAGUUUGACAUUACCUUUAGAAGAAGCACCGGCUAACUCCGUGCCAGCCGCCGCAGUAA
rnacentral:rRNA from 1 species